UACGAAGGGGGCUAGCGUUGCUCGGAAUGACUGGGCGUAAAGGGCGCGUAGGCGGUUUGCACAGUCAGGCGUGAAAUUCCUGGGCUUAACCUGGGGGCUGCGCUUGAUACGUGUGGACUGGAGUGCGGAAGAGGGUCGUGGAAUUCCCAGUGUAGAGGUGAAAUUCGUAGAUAUUGGGAAGAACACCGGUGGCGAAGGCGGCGACCUGGUCCGUGACUGACGCUGAGGCGCGAAAGCUAGGGGAGCGAACAGG
rnacentral:rRNA from 1 species